rnacentral:rRNA from 1 species
UACGUAGGGGGCAAGCGUUGUCCGGAAUUAUUGGGCGUAAAGCGCGUGUAGGCGGCUCAGCAAGUCCGCUCUGAAAGCCCAGGGCUCAACCCUGGGAUGCGGGUGGAUACUGCUGAGCUCGAGUCCGGAAGAGGCGAGUGGAAUUCCUGGUGUAGCGGUGAAAUGCGCAGAUAUCGGGAGGAACACCAAUGGCGAAGGCAGCUCGCUGGGACGUUACUGACGCUGAGACGCGAAAGCGUGGGGAGCAAACAGG